rnacentral:rRNA from 2 species
UGGGGAAUAUUGCACAAUGGAGGGAACUCUGAUGCAGCGACGCCGCGUGAACGAAGAAGGCUUUCGAGUCGUAAAGUUCUUUUAUAUGGGAAGAUAAUGACGGUACCAUAAGAAAAAGCCCCGGCUAACUACGUGCCAGCAGCCGCGGUAAUACGUAGGGGGCUAGCGUUGUCCGGAAUCACUGGGCGUAAAGGGUUCGCAGGCGGAAAUGCAAGUCAGGUGUAAAAGGCAGUAGCUUAACUACUGUAAGCAUUUGAAACUGCAUAUCUUGAUAAGAGUAGAGGUAAGUGGAAUUUUUAGUGUAGCGGUGAAAUGCGUAGAUAUUAAAAAGAAUACCGGUGGCGAAGGCGACUUACUGGGCUCAUUCUGACGCUGAGGAACGAAAGCGUGGGUAGCAAACAGG